rnacentral:tRNA from 1 species
GAGGGUAUAGCUCAGUGGUUGAGUACAUGCUUAGCAAGCACCAGGUCCUGGGUUCGAUCCCUAAUACCUCCA